ACCAUGUUGACCAGGCUGUUCUCGAACUCCUGGCCUCAAGAGAUCCAUGCGCCUUGGGCUCCCAAAGUGCUAGGAUUACAGGCAUGAGACAACGUGCCGGCUCUGAUUCACAGUUUUUACACUGGAGCAAGUGAUGUCAAGGGAUAUUCUGAGGACCACACGAGUUCAAGUAUCUUGAUACUACUUUAUAAGAUGAAAUAUUCUAUAUAAAUAUAGUGAAUUGGAUAACAAUUAUCAAGAAGACAAGAACUAGCAAGUGUUGGCAAGUAUGUGGAGAAAAUAAAACCCUUGUACACUGUUGGUAGAGCUGUAAAUUGGUACAGCCAUUAUGGAAAAUAGUAUGAAAUUCUUCAAGAAAUUAAAAAUAGAACUGCCAUUUGAUUCAGCGAUUCCUUCAUGAGUAUAAACCUCAGGGAAAUAAAAUCAAUUCCUCGCAAGGGAUCUGCAGUCCCAUGUUCAUUUCAGCAUUAUUCACAAUAGCCAAGAUAUGCAAACAACCUAAAUGCCUGCCGGUGAAUGAAUCAGUAAAGAAAUUGUGGUAUAUGUAUACAAUGGAAUGUUAUUCAUCCUUAAAAAAAAGAAAAUUCUGCCAUUUUUGACAAAAUGGAUGAACCUGGAGGAUAUUAUGGUAAGUGAAAUAAGCCAGAUACAGAACAAAAAUAUCGCAUGAGUUCACUUUUAUGUGGAAUUUCAAAAAGCCUAAUACAUAGAAACAGAG
rnacentral:lncRNA from 10 species